rnacentral:rRNA from 1 species
UACGUAGGGGGCAAGCGUUGUCCGGAUUUACUGGGCGUAAAGAGCGCGCAGGCGGUCGUUCAAGUCGAGUGUGAAAGCCCCCGGCUCAACUGGGGAGGGUCACUCGAUACUGAUCGACUCGAAGGCAGGAGAGGGAAGUGGAAUUCCCGGUGUAGUGGUGAAAUGCGUAGAUAUCGGGAGAACACCAGUGGCGAAGGCGACUUCCUGGCCUAUUCUUGACGCUGAGGCGCGAAAGCUAGGGGAGCAAACGGG